GGGUGCUUCGAUGGUAUCCGUUUCCGUAACAAAUGCGUUAAGUGCCCCGCCUGGGGAGUACGGUCGCAAGGCUAAAACUCAAAGGAAUUGACGGGGGCUCACACAAGCGGUGGAGCAUGUUGCUUAAUUCGAAGCAACGCGAAGAACCUUACCCAGAUUCGAAAUGCUAGGAUUAGCCUCCUGAAAGGGAAGUGACGCCCUCGUGGUGGAACUAGUAUAGGUGUUGCAUGGCUGUCGUCAGCUCGUGUCGUGAGAUGUCGCGUUAAGUCGCUGAACGAGCGAAACCCUUGUCCUUAGUUGCCAGCACUUCGGGUGGGGACUCUAGGGAGACUGCCGUUGUUAAAACGGAGGAAGGUGGGGACGACGUCAAGUCAUCAUGGCCUUUAUGCCUGGGGCUGCAAACGUGCUACAAUGGCGGGUACAAAGGGAAGCAAAACCGCGAGGUCAAGCAAAUCCCAUAAAGCCCGCCCCAGUUCGGAUUGAAGGCUGCAACUCGCCUUCAUGAAGCCGGAAUCGCUAGUAACCGCGGAUCAGCUACGCCGCGGUGAAUAUGUUCCUGAGCCUUGUACACACCGCCCGUCAAGCCACGAAAGUCGGCAGUGCCUUAAGUCGUGAACCCAACC
rnacentral:rRNA from 1 species